rnacentral:rRNA from 1 species
UACUAGAGUAGCACUCGCAUAUCAAUAAGCGGAGGAAAAGAAACUAACAAGGAUUCCCCUAGUAACGGCGGGUGAAGCGGGAAGAGCUCAAAUUUGAAAUCUUAAAGGGUUUCCCUUUACGAAUUGCAGUUUAAAGAAGUGUUUUCUGUUGAGGUUUUGGUAAAAGUUCUUUGGAAUAGGACAUCAUAGAGGGUGAGAAUCCCGUAUUUGACCUUUACUUUCAACUUUGUGAUACACUUUCAAAGAGUCGGAUUGUUUGGGAAUGCAGUCCAAAAUGGGUGGUAAAUUUCAUCUAAAGCUAAAUAUUGGCGAGAGACCGAUAGCGAACAAGUACCGUGAGGGAAAGAUGAAAAGAACUUUGAAAAGAGAGUUAAACAGUACGUGAAAUUGUCAAAAGGGAAGCGUUUGACACCAGUGUUGUUUUUCUGAAAAUCAAUUAAAGAACUGUUUAUGCUAAGUUGUUUAGACUUUAUCAGCUAACUGUUUAGUUUUGAGCUUUUCUUUAAUGCACUUUUCAGUUAACAAGUCAACAUCAAUUUCUUUUGCUGUAAAAAAGCUUGAGGAAGGUGGCUUGAGAUUCGUCUUAAGUGUUUAUAGCCUCUUGCCUAUGCAGUCGGAGAGAUUGAGGUCUGCAAGCGUAGAUCCUUCGGGGCUAAAUGCAUUUGUGCUAAGUUAUAGCAUUUUAUAGACAACUUGUUGACUAUGAUUUGUCUUGUAGCUUACUCGCUUAUGUUAUUUUACCUACGCUUAGGAUGUUGAGCGCAUGUCUCUCUCU